AUCCUACGGGGCGCAGCAGUAGGGAAUCUUCCACAAUGGACGAAAGUCUAAUGGAGCAACGCCGCGUGAGUGAAGAAGGGUUUCGGCUCGUAAAGCUCUGUUGGUAGUGAAGAAAGAUAGAGGUAGUAACUGGCCUUUAUUUGACGGUAAUUACUUAGAAAGUCACGGCUAACUACGUGCCAGCAGCCGCGGUAAUACGUAGGUGGCAAGCGUUGUCCGGAUUUAUUGGGCGUAAAGCGAGUGCAGGCGGUUCUAUAAGUCUGAUGUGGAAACCCUCGGCUCCACCCGAG
rnacentral:rRNA from 1 species